AACCUUAUGGACCUGCGGGCGUAUACCUGCGGAGGGAUCAUUAUCAAAACAGCGGCCUUCGGGCCUUGCUGCACCCUUGUCUUUUGCGCACCGUAUUGUUUCCUCGGCGGGCUUGCCUGCCGGUUGGACAUUAUCAAACCUUUUUGUAGUUGCAAUCAGCGUCAGAAAAACAAUAAUUAUUACAACUUUCAACAACGGAUCU
rnacentral:misc_RNA from 1 species